AAAAGUUUUAUUUUAGCUUAAAAAUUCAGUUAAUUUUUUUUUUACAUGUAUAUUUUUGUGAGAUUUUUUUUUAUUUUUAAUAAAUAAAAUUAUUUAUUUAUUUGCAGUAUAAGAUUUUGUAAAUUAGGGGCUCCUAGAUAUAGAAAUAAAUUUUUUUACGAACAUAUUUUGUGCCAGCAGUUGCGGUUAUACAAAACGUGAUAUUGAGUUAUUUUAUUAUAUAAUUAAUUGUAUUUUUUUUAAUUGAGUUUAAAAAUUUUUAGGUGAAAUUUUUAAUUUUUAUGUAAUGUUAGAAUUGGUUAUUUGAUUUUAUUAAAUUUUUAUAUUAAACUAGGAUUAGAUACCCUAUUAUAGAAAAUGUAAAUUUAUUUAUUAUUAAAUUAGUAGUAGUUAAGUUCUUGAAAUUUAAAAGUUUUGGCGGUAUUUUAAUCUUUUUAGAGGAACCUGUCCUGUGAUUGAUAGUCCACGAUAAUUUUUACUUUUUUAAUAAAUUUGUAUAUCGUUGUUUAAAAGAUUUUUUUAGAAUUAAAAAUUUUUUUAAUUUAAUAUUAUAAAUUAAAUCAGAUCAAGACAUAGUUUAUAUAAAAGUAGAGAUGGGUUACAAUAAAUUUAUUUAAAUGGAUUUAAAUAUUAAUUUUUUUUUGAAGGUGGAUUUAAUAGUAAUUUUAUUUAUUUAUUAAAAUGAAUUAAGUUUUGAAAUAUGCACAUAUCGCCCGUCGCUCUUCUUUUAAAAGAAGAUAAGUCGUAACAUAGUAGGUGUACUGGAAAGUGUACCUGGAUAGACA
rnacentral:ncRNA from 1 species